AGGUCAAUUUGGGAUUUCUAGUGAAGCGCUCGGCGUCGGAUAUUUCUGAGGAAACUGUACAGUGCAACUUAACACAAAUGGAUACUUACGUCGCUUUGUUAUCCUUAUUGAUUAUUGCCAAACCAGUUCUCGGUUUUGGAAUAGAUCCCGAUUACCAGAUAGAUAUCAUCAAUGAACUUGACUUUGCGAAUGCUACAUAUGGAAUUACCCAAGUGGCAGGGCUUCACAACAAUAGCAAAGCCUUCUUAUUUCGAGAUGCAGGUAGAGCAGUCCAUGCACCAGACCACAUCAAUGAAAAGGUGGUGCAGCUUUUUAGAAGUAAAAGUGAAUUCACCUUCCUGGCCUCCAUCCAGCAGAAGUCCUCCACGUCGGGAGUCAUCUUUUCCAUUCAUGAAUCUGAACACAGUUACUUUGAGUUGGAAAGCAGUGGACUGAGAGAGGAGAUCCGCUACCACUACCGCUACAAGGGCAAGCCUCGCUCCGAGUCUUUCCCCUACCGGCUAGCCGAUGGCCAGUGGCACAAGAUAGCCCUCUCCAUCAGCGCUACACACCUCCAGCUGCAUGUCGACUGCAACAGAAUUUACGAGCGAGUGAUAGACCCACCACAGAUGGAUCUAACCCCAAGCAGUGGAGUGUGGCUGGGGCAACAUAGCCACAAGCAUGGCCUCUUCAAGGGUACCAUUCAGGAUGUCAAAUUAAUUUUUGCUCCAAACGGCUACAUCACACAAUGUCCCAACCUCAAUCGCACCUGUCCGACAUGUAGUGAUUUCCUUAGCCUGGUGCAAGGUAUCAUGGACCUUCAGGAGCUGCUGGCCAAAAUGACCCUGAAGCUUAACUACGCUGAGUCCAGGCUGACCCAGUUGGAGGGCUGCCACUGUGAGAGGACGUGCAGUGCCAAUGGGGUGGUCUACAGAGACAAGGAGUUGUGGCUGGAGCCAGAGAACUGCAGGAACUGUGGUUGCAAGAAUGGUGUGGCGGAAUGUCGUAGAAUAUUCUGUCCCCCUGCCAACUGCUCAGAGGACUCCCUACCUGUUCAUGUGGAAGGCACCUGCUGCAAGAAAUGCAGACCCAAAUGCACCUAUAUGGACCAGAGUUUGUCAGAGGGCCAGCGUCUGCUAGCGAAGAGAUGCAGAGAGUGCAAGAAUGGAGUGAUGGUGAAAGUAACAGAGAACUGUUCAGCUCUCAACUGCACCCUAAGGGAACAGAUCUUACCUGACAACAGAUGUUGCAACGUUUGCAAAGGCUAUGACUUUUGUGCAGAGGGACUCAUUUGUGGGGAAAACUCGGAGUGUAAAAACCGGAAUACCAGAGCAGAGUGCGAGUGCAAGAGCGGAUUUGCCUCCAUCCAUGGGGACUCCACAUACUGUGAAGAUAUCGAUGAAUGUGCCACACAGAUGCACUACUGCCAGGCCAACACAGUGUGUGUAAAUCUACCCGGCACCCACCGCUGUGACUGUCUACUUGGUUUCAUCAGAGUGGACGACUACUCAUGCACAGAACAUGACCAGUGUGCCAAUGGGCAGAGCUCCUGUGAUGACAGUGCCAUCUGCACUAAUACAAUCAGAGGCCACCUGUGCACCUGUAAACCUGGCUACGUGGGGAACGGCACAAUCUGCAGAGCAUUCUGUGAGGAGGGUUGUAGAAGCGGAGGUACCUGUGUGUCACCCAACAUCUGUGUCUGCCCCUCAGGCUUUACAGGACGCCACUGUGAGACAGACAUUGACGAGUGUGCGGAACACCUGAUCCUGUGCCACAAUCACUCCCACUGUGUCAACCUGCCCGGCUGGUACCACUGUGAGUGCAGGAGCGGUUUCCAUGACAAUGGCUCCUACCUGAUUGAUGGGAGCUCCUGCAUCGAUGUUGAUGAGUGUGCCACACAGACACACACCUGCUGGAAUGACAGCGUGUGUGUGAACCUUCCAGGUAGUUUUGACUGUAUAUGCACAUCUGGACCAGCCUGCAGUGGAGACUGUCCUCACGAGGAGGGCCUCAAACACAACGGACAAGAGUGGAACCUCAACCUGGACCGUUGUUCCGUUUGCUCCUGCAAGGAUGGCCGCAUCUUCUGCAAGAGGAGAGAGUGUGACUGUGCAGGCCAUGACGUAGACCUGUUCUGCUGUCCCGAGUGUGACUCCAGGCAGUCCAGCCAGUGUCUGCAUCAGAGUGGACACACACUGUACCGCAGCGGAAACUCUUGGAUAUACAGCUGCCAGCAGUGCCACUGCCUGGAAGGGGAAGUGGACUGCUGGCCCCUGGCAUGUCCAGUGUUGACAUGCAAGUACUCUGCAGUGGCAAAGGGUGAAUGCUGCCCGCGCUGCGUCGCUGACCCGUGUGUGGCAGACAAUAUUGCCUAUGACAUCAGGCAGACGUGUCAGGACCCUGCUGGCAUCACCCGCCUCAGCAGUGCCACAUGGCCUCUGCCAGGGUCACCCUGCACCACUUGCAAAUGCAAGAAUGGAAAUGUGUGCUGCUCAGUGGACCUGGAUUGCCUUCAGAACAACUAAACAAUCCUCUUGUGGAAGACCUCCGCACCUCCAUGCCAGUUUCUCCUUUCCUCCAAUCCUGAAAUGGCAUGCUCACACAGUCUUUCUACCGGUUACUACACAUGCACACAAUCUCUCUCUCUCUCUCUCUCUCACACACACACACACACACACACACACACACUAUGCCAGGGUAUUAGGGCAAUGGUUGAAGUUUUGUCCACACUGGUUCUUUACGUCCUGACUGAUGGAGAGACUGAGUUUGUGUCUGCCCCACAACUACAGCCACCCAGAAACAACUGUUUCCUUACUCACCCCCUACUUGCAACCUUGUCAGUGUGUGUGUUUUUGUGUGUCAAUCUCUCUGCGUCUGUUUGUCUUUCUAUCGCUCACUAGGUUAUUCAGCAGAUGCUUCAACCCAAAGCAAUGGAAUUACCAUCACAUGGCACUAUGAGAAUCGAACCCAACAGUGUUGUCUGUUGUCUUAUCAUAUUGUGUAAAGAAAAGGGGGUUUGUGAGAUAUGUUGUAUUAAAACAGUGAGACUUCACCAGUUACAACCUCAUGUAUCGUCAUUAUAUUAAUAUAAAAUCAAAUUUUCUCAUUUGACAUGUCAUGCCCCUUUCAGUUUCAGUUUGCUUUUUCCGUUAGAUGCCUUAGGAACACGAACCCAGAUGGCAUAUUCUUAAGAAACAGUACAAGGAUCAGUAGGAACAGUUGGUGUACUGCAAACUGAUCUGAGAUAAGCCCUGAGUGUUGUUGUCAAAAUGUCAAACCUGCACCCGCAUCAGAGAAGAUGGGAGCGGAAAUGCAUGACAAAUGAACAAUUGCCAAAAACGUUGCAGAACAAAGAUGUUUAGAAAGAACUUGAAAAUGAAUUUGAUGACAAUGGAGGAAUCACUAUCACACUGUAAUGUGAUAACUUUUAAUGUUGAUCUUCUUUUUCUGCAUUCCCAUAAUGGUACCCAGACAUGACUUCAAUGUUUUUUCAUUUGGUUCUUUGUGAAUUGUAUUGACCACCUUACAAAUCCAGAUCAAUCCACUGCUGUACAAAUGAACAUCAAGGAAUACACAAUGAAAUAUGCUAAGAAAUUAUACCAACAUCAUCCAUGUCAAUCAAGAUUUUCAGAUUCAUUGGAUUGUUGAAUAAUGUUAUACAUAUUUCCAAGUCUGUAUGUAAAUGGUAUUACAUAUCAUGAUAGGAUUAUAGUGUUUUUUUCUACCAUCAUUAUAGUCUUCUUCAGCCAUGUUUUUGUGACUACUAUUAUUUAUUUUGUUCUGUAAUUUUAGCUGUACAUAUUAUGUAAAGCAGGAUUCUGUAAAAAGAGGAAGGCUGAAAAAUCACCUCUGCACUUUCUUAGGACCUGAGCAUUUUCAGACAACUGUGUGAGAAAGCUAUAGAUUAUUUAUAUUGUUUUUUAACUUUGUUUUUGUAUUGCCUUAACCCUUUUCAGUAGAUUUCAUAGUCUGUACAAGUCCCAUCACCUUAACAGCAAGGAAACUUGCAUUAAAUAGAAGUUGUACAAAGGCACAGAUUUAGGAUUAGCUUACUUACCUGAUCUUAACCAAUGGAAGUGGAAACCUGUACAGAGAUCAGCGAUAGGAUGAAAAUUCCUCUCGGCUCAGCAGUCACUAUGCUAAACCAACAUGCAAAUGGGAUGUUCAUAUCUACGCAAUGUUUUCAUUGAUCUGAGGAAAACCACAAUUCAGUGACCCCUCAUGCCCUGUGGAUGGGACAUCCUGGACGAGACCCAACAAUAAACCCUCUUUCAAAGUCUCUUAGAUCCUUUCUUCGUUCCACCUUGAUCCAAAAUCAAGGUCAACUGAGCUUGCUCAGCAUAGAUGCCACAUUGCAUGAUAGGAUCUUGAUUGCUUAUAUGUAUCAUGUAGUAUACUCAGUGCUUGACUUUGGCUGGAAUGGUCCGGAACAGUGUUUCGGUACUUCGAAUUUUAGGCAGGCCUUAUUAAUACAUACAUUUUCAUGAACAUGGUCUAAUUUGUGAUUUGUCAGUUCCUGCACUUAUUUAAUCCCAAGUCAAGUGCUGAGUACACCUGUUUGGAAGUUCUUUAUGUUCCUAGUUGUAUUCAGGUUUUUCAUUAAAUUUGUCGCCCAUCUAUUUAUCUGUCUAUAUAUAUAUAUAUAUAUUAGGGGUGUAACGGUAUGCAAAAGUCACAAAAAUGUUAAGUCACAGUUCGAUACGAGUUCAGUACAGCGGAAAAAAACAUGGCAAACAUAAAAAAAAAAACUUUGCCCAUUGCCUUUGUAGUUAAAGCUGAACUAAGUAGGAUUCUUUCAAUUAAAAUAAACAAUUACAGCAUUUUGCAAUUACUCACCGGUCAGGAAGCGGUUCUGCCCCAAUGCCCAAAUAAUAAUAUAAAAAAUAAAAUGACCUGUUCCAAAAAAAAGUGCUAACUUAGAGUUCCAUGUUAUUGUUAACCUUUAUAACGUUAGCUUAGGGUUCCUGGUUGCUAGCUACGGAGAACUGUAUCAUGGUUUUCUUUAGCUUCUUUUCAGUUUUCACAGCAUAUGCUAUAGUAGACAAAGGAGGAAUUGGCAGUUUGUCAUCCUGGUCUCAAGCUGCCAUUGUAGUUUAUACAGUACAGCAAGCAAACUUUGCUCCCCUACUUAUGUUAUAUAUAUCAUCCCGGUAAAAUGCGUGUUCACAAAAUAAACCAAGAAGGAAAGCCCAUAAUGGAGAAGGAGAUGGAACAAAAUUGGUGAAAAGGAAUUGUCUGGAAAGUAGCGACAGGCUCCAUAAAUUUGAAAUUGACAUAUGCUUAGAGGGCUUCAUCAGCUUACACAACAUGUUUAUAGGGAACAAAACUAGAUUUUUUUUUACUGAAAAACCUGGAAUCCUACAGGGGGGUCCUCAAGGUCUGGCUUGUCGUUUGUGUUUGCCAUAUUUAUUUACGAGACGGCAUUACAUGUUCCAGGCUACUUCAGUUGCUAAGUAAUGUCUCCAAGGUCUCCAGGGUAAAACUCUGAGUUUCAUACACAAAAAUGUAACGCCUGUGAUUAUAACUAGACUAUAUUCAUUCGGAUUACAAUGCGUACCAAACCGAACAUCCUGUACUGAACGGUAUGAAAACACAUCCCUAAUAUAUACAGUUGUGCUCAUAAGUUUGCAUACCCUGGCAGAAGUUGUGACAUUUUGGCAU